rnacentral:lncRNA from 1 species
AAAACGUAAAACAAAUAUCUUUUUAAAUGAUGGGUAAAAAAUACCUUGCAGAAAUAUUAGCGCUAGAAUUAGUCCACAAAUGGAAACCUCCAGAAUUCCAUUAAGAAGCCCAUUUAGCAAAGCGUAGGCUUGGUAAUUGUUUCUCUCCUUCAGAUUUGCCUUAAAACUCCAUUUAGGGAUUAUACUUCCAUUUAGUGAUUUUCCUGCGCCAUUUUUACCGCCAUAAGAAGAGCUUCUACUUUUGCUCUGAGAGAAUCCAGAUUAACAAGUUUCUUGGCCCAACAAUAACAUGGAGAACCUAGUGGGUUUAUCAUAAUAGUGGCUGUUAAAGCUUCGUCUUUCUUGGUGAUAAACUUCCAGUCGUUAUCCUAGCCUUCUGAAACUUCAUUUGUGCUUUGUGGGUUUGGAAGAAAUUAUCUCUUUUUCUCUGUUUAAGCUGCCUUAGAUAGUUGUUAUGAAUGUCAUUAUGUUAAUCUUUUGGUAUUCAUGUAUGAUUUUGUUUCUCCAAUAAUAGAAGCAUGUGGAUUGUGAUUGAUAAAUGCAUAUAUAAGGAUAUCAAAUUAAAACCCCAUUUCAUAUGUUGAGACUGUUGAUUAAUUAGGCAGUAGAACCUAUCUUCCAUUGAAUCUCGUGAGUCAGUAAUAAUAUUCCGAUAAAAUUUCAGCCAUAUUAUCCUUGUUGUAUGUCAUUUAAAAGAUAGAUUGCUCUGAUUAGCUGAAAUUCGAGAAGAUAAACCCGGG